rnacentral:rRNA from 1 species
UGGGGAAUAUUGGACAAUGGGCGAAAGCCUGAUCCAGCCAUGCCGCGUGAGUGAAGAAGGCCUUAGGGUUGUAAAGCUCUUUCAGCGGGGAAGAUAAUGACGGUACCCGCAGAAGAAGCCCCGGCUAACUUCGUGCCAGCAGCCGCGGUAAUACGAAGGGGGCUAGCGUUGUUCGGAAUUACUGGGCGUAAAGCGCGCGUAGGCGGGUCGCUAAGUCAGGGGUGAAAUGCCGAGGCUCAACCUCGGAACUGCCUUUGAUACUGGCGACCUGGAGAUCGGGAGAGGUGAGUGGAAUUCCGAGUGUAGAGGUGAAAUUCGUAGAUAUUCGGAGGAACACCAGAAGCGAAGGCGGCUCACUGGCCCGAUACUGACGCUGAGGCGCGAAAGCGUGGGGAGCAAACA